GGAGAGGUGCUGGAGCGGUCGAACAGGCACGCCUGGAGAGCGUGUAGGGGCCACAAGCUCCUCGCGGGUUCGAAUCCCGCCCUCUCCG
rnacentral:tRNA from 1 species